rnacentral:rRNA from 1 species
UACGAAGGUGGCAAGCGUUGUUCGGAUUUACUGGGCGUACAGGGAGCGUAGGCGGUUGGAUAAGCCCUCCGUGAAAUCUCCAGGCUUAACCUGGAAAGUGCAGAGGGGACUGUUCAGCUAGAGGAUGGGAGAGGAGCGCGGAAUUCCAGGUGUAGCGGUGAAAUGCGUAGAUAUCUGGAGGAACACCGGUGGCGAAGGCGGCAUCCUGGACCGGCAUUGACGCUGAGGCGCGAAAGCCAGGGGAGCAAACGGG